AUUUAGCUCAGUUGGCUAGAGUGCGGUGCUGGCAAUGCCAAGGUUGCAGGUUCGAUCCCCAUAAGGGACA